rnacentral:rRNA from 1 species
GAUGAACGCUGGCGGUAUGCCUAACACAUGCAAGUCGUACGAGAGUUUUUAACUCUAGUGGCGGACGGGUGAGUAACACGUGAGAAUUUGCCUUUAGGAGGGGGACAACAAUUGGAAACGAAUGCUAAUACCCCAUAUGCUUUCGAGUGAAAUGGAUUUUAUCCGCCUAGAGAGAAGCUCGCGGCUGAUUAGCUUGUUGGUAAGGUAAGAGCUUACCAAGGCGACGAUCAGUAUCUGGUUUGAGAGGACGAUCAGACACACUGGAACUGAGACACGGUCCAGACUCCUACGGGAGGCAGCAGUAAGGAAUAUUGGACAAUGGACGCAAGUCUGAUCCAGCCAUGCCGCGUGAA